CCUACGGGCGGCAGCAGUGAGGAAUAUUGGUCAAUGGGCGUAAGCCUGAACCAGCCAAGUCGCGUGAGGGAUGAAGGCUCUAUGGAUUGUAAACUUCUUUUAUAAGGGAAUAAAGUGCGGGACGUGUCCUAUUUUGUAUGUACCUCAUGAAUAAGGACCGGCUAAUUCCGUGCCAGCAGCCGCGGUAAUACGGAGGAUCCGAGCGUUAUCCGGAUUUAUUGGGUUUAAAGGGUGCGUAGGCGGCCUGUUAAGCCAGCGGUGAAAGUCGGUGGCUCAACCAUAGAAUUGCCGUUGAAACUGGGGGGCUUGAGUAUGUUUGAGGCAGGCGGAAUGCGUGGUGUAGCGGUGAAAUGCUUAGAUAUCACGCAGAACCCCGAUUGCGAAGGCAGCCUGCCGAGCCAUGACUGACGCUGAUGCACGAAGGCGUGGGGAUCGAACAGGAUUAGAUACCCGGGUAGUC
rnacentral:rRNA from 1 species